rnacentral:rRNA from 4 species
GAAACAGUGGCUAAGACUGGAUAGGAAGAUAAAAGGCAUCUUGUAUCUUUUAAAAGACCUAGUUAAUAGGUAUGCUUUAGGAGGGGCUUGCGCCAUAUUAGUUAGUUGGUAGGGUAAUGGCCUACCAAGACGAUGAUGUGUAGCUGGACUGAGAGGUUGAACAGCCACAUUGGGACUGAGACACGGCCCAAACUCCUACGGGAGGCAGCAGUAGGGAAUUUUCGGCAAUGGAGGAAACUCUGACCGAGCAACGCCGCGUGAAUGACGAAGUACUUCGGUAUGUAAAGUUCUUUUAUCGAGGAAGAAAAGCAAAUGGCGAACCAUUUGUUUGCCGGUACUUGAUGAAUAAGCCCCGGCUAAUUAUGUGCCAGCAGCCGCGGUAAGACAUAAGGGGCAAGUGUUAUCCGGAAUUAUUGGGCGUAAAGGGUGCGUAGGCGGUCUAGUAAGUCAGUGGUGUAAUGUCAACGCUUAACGUUGUCCGGCUAUUGAAACUGCUAAACUUGAGUUAGAUAGAGGCGAGUGGAAUUCCAUGUGUAGCGGUAAAAUGCGUAAAUAUAUGGAGGAACACCAGAGGCGUAGGCGGCUCGCUGGGUCUUAACUGACGCUGAGGCACGAAAGCGUGGGGAGCAAACAGGAUUAGAUACCCUGGUAGUCCACGCCGUAAACGAUGAGUACUAAGUGUCGGGUUAAACCGGUACUGAAGUUAACACAUUAAGUACUCCGCCUGAGUAGUACGUACGCAAGUAUGAAACUUAAAGGAAUUGACGGGACUCCGCACAAGCGGUGGAUCAUGUUGUUUAAUUCGAAGAUACCCGAAAAACCUUACCAGGUCUUGACAUGUUUUUGCAAAAUGAUAGUAAUAUCGUGGAGGUUACCAGAAACACAGGUGGUGCAUGGUUGUCGUCAGCUCGUGUCGUGAGAUGUUAGGUUAAGUCCUAAAACGAGCGAAACCCUUAUCGUUAGUUGCCAGCACGUUAUGGUGGGGACUUUAACGAGACUGCCAAUGAUAAAUUGGAGGAAGGUGAGGAUCACGUCAAAUCAGCAUGCCCCUUAUGACCUGGGCUACAAACGUGAUACAAUGGCUGUUACAAAGGGUAGCUGAAACGCAAGUUCUUGGCCAAUCCCCAAAAACAGUCCCAGUCCGGAUUGAAGUCUGCAACUCGACUUCAUGAAGUUGGAAUCGCUAGUAAUCGCGAAUCAGCAUGUCGCGGUGAAUACGUUCUCGGGGUUUGUACACACCGCCCGUCA